rnacentral:sRNA from 1 species
UUUUUUUUGUAAUCUAAGUUCAAGCACCUUACAUUAGAAAGUCUUCGAUUUUUUUAUUUUAUUUUGUAAUCAAAGUCUUAGAGUUUAAAGUUUUAUUUUUCUUAAAUCUAAAAAUUUCUCCAACUUCUGUUUGAUAUGUAAUCUUUGUUUAUUUCAGUAUUUGCUGAUGAGGUUGUUAGAUAGUCUUUUUAUAGCUAGCAAGAUUCAAAGAAAAGGAAAAGUAACCAUCAAUCAAUAAAGCAAAAUGCAAGAUAAUCUCACCAUUAUAAAAAACUUAAAU